GGAAGUAGACACGCCCCAACCACGCGCGUGGAAAAGGAAAAACGCCCCAAUCCGCCUCUGCUCCCGCUCGCAUCCCGCCUCCGUCCGGAGCGCCGUCGAAGCUCGCCGGGCCGGCGGCCACUCCCCUCCGAUGGAUGGUGACCAAAGUUUCUUGGACACAGUUGGUUUUGGUUACUCACAAACACAACCUCAAAGUCCAAUUGGAGAGCAAGCAACCCCAUCAACUCAGCAUGAAGCAAGACCAUCAACUCAGCAUCAAGCAAGACCAUCCAACAAAGGAAAAAAUUGGUCUACUGAUGAGGAUAAGGUUCUGAUAGCAGCAUGGGCAAAUACAAGUAUUGAUAUUGUCGAGGAACUUCUUUGAAGUAGUCGUCCCACAGAAGAACAAAUCCAGCAUCUCUUCUUCGAUCGAUUGCUCGACGUCCAUGCUUCGAACCACCGUGGCGUCGAGCGUUCAUCCUCUCUUCCUCCUCGCGCUCGGCAAAUGCUGCAAGUAUGAGUUCAUCGUCGCCAGAUGAAGAUGACGAAGAACUCAUGUCCCAAAAGGAUGUGUUCAUUGUGUUGCGUGAGAGACGAUAGAGAAAUCUAGGAGUGAGAAGAGAAGUCACAGAUAGAGAUGCUGGAAGAGAGGUGGUCGGGGUGGUUUAUAUAGACCAGAAAUAUGGCCGUUGAAAAUAUAGCCGUUGGAAUAUAGCCGUUUGAAAAUAUAGCCGUUGGAAUAUACACGUCCUGAUUUACACGU